AACUCCCACGAUCCCUAGCUAGCAGGACCAGUGGUCAGGGAUGAUGGGAACCAUAGUCUCAAAACAUCUGGAGGGCCGAGGUUGAGGAAGCCUGACCUAGGAGGCAUACUCGAUUGUGUCUUGAGACAGACAGAUGCAAACAAAGACCUCAUAUUUUUAUGAGUACACAAUGGAUUUUCAGUAAGUCAGGAAGGUCAAGGUUCCAGCAAUUUCCUUUACCUUUUCAGGGACUCCAAAUUGUCAAAAGGAAAAACACAACGUAUGCUAUGGUAUGGGUGUGUGCUAUAUGGUCACAACCAGGAGAACUUUGCUCUUCAAGGGGACAUAUCUGAACUGCUGCAUCUUAGCCAUUCCUUAAUGGAUUUUUGCUAGGAUUUUGCCAGUUUAUAUUAGUCAUAACACAGGUACUCCAUGUCAAACUUCCCCAAGAUGGGUCCAAUUGUUUUUAUUUUAUAAUAAUAGAACACUUUUUGACCAGGCUUCUGCUUUAAUAUCCAGCACUCCCCAUCCUGUUUAAUCAGACCUAUAUCAAAGAAAGGAAGACCUGCAAGUACUACAUACUCUUCAACCAGAUUUGAACAUUGCAGAAAAAGCAACACUGUCCAUAAGCAGGAGCUGAUGCCACAGGUAUAGGGCACAGCAACUUUGAAAACCUGGAAGAAGGCAGCAGUAGCUUGUAAUGUAUGGUUUCCCCAAUGUUUUCGAUGAAGCAACCAGAAAAAAAAGACAAAGUCUGCAGCAAAACCUUUUAAAUAGAAAUAAUUUACCAUAGCCUUCUCAGGGAGUUCAGUACAUUCUUACGUCCAUGGAGUUAAAGCAACAGACAAGCAAAAUUGUGGGAUGAUGCAUGAGGUUUACAAUUUUUUGGUACACUGCCAUCUUAUCUACAAGAACUGCAGCUGGUGCAGGACAAGGAAAAAAGGGACCAUCUCCCUAGAAGAUUAAUAGUUUGCUGCAUGGAAGAACAAAGUGUAGAUAAACAUAAAUAAACAUGCAUUGAACACCGUCUGCUGCGUAUGAGCUAAAUCAUUCUGCCAAAGGGAAAUAAAGAAAAGCUACUUUAACAUUUAGAGCAGUGCAAGACAGCAUGGAUAAGCUCAGAUUAACAGAGAGCUGCAUCAGCAUAUAUUGAAAGACAGACAGAAAGGCAGACCACAGAAGCCAAAUCUUGUCUACAUGGCCUCUUGGAUUCUUGGCAGAGUCAACAAUGCCGUCAUCAAGAACAUCAGGACCAGAUGCUACUUGCCAAAGGAAAUCAACAGAAGCACUUGCAAAUUCUGUGAUCUUGUUCCCAGCUUCCAUUCUCAGAUGCCUGCACUUCCACAGGGGAGAGGAAGACAUCAUCAGCACAACAGAUCGCUUUUCUGUAUCGCACCCAUUAUGCCCUUGUGUAAAUCUGCUUAUGCACGCAAUGAACACAUUGCUGUCAGUGUAAAUAUAGUUCUCAUGCUUUAUUUAGAAGUAAAUUCAUAUAGCAAUAAAUGACUAAACAUUUCUUAUGGACUUUAUAUUAUCAUUCCCAAUAAAUUGUAAAAUGGCUAUGCUCUGGGUGGUCUGGAGUGUCAGAGAAGGAGAAAGCACAAGGAAGUUCCUGUAUACCAGGGGAAACCCCCACAUACACAGGGAAAGUAUGUUUACAUUAAACCUGCCUCAAAAUUACUCCAAGACCAAGAACUGUGUGUACCUACUGUAUAUCCUUCAACCUGUCACAGAACCCUGGCUGUAGAUGGUAGUGCACUGGCUUAGCUAGGCAUGAGCAAAUAUGUCAACUGUGGUUUCUCUCCAUCUUUGGAACUUACUUUGAGUAAACAUGCAUAGGAUCAGGUUUUAAUUUUCUAACUUUUCCAAAUAAAUAAGAGGAAUAUUCCAAGCUCUAUUCCAGCCUACAGCAAUAUACAGUGGUACCUCAGGUUACAUGUGCUUCAGGUUACAUACGCUUCAGGUUACAGACUCCACUAACCCAGAAAUAGUGCUUCAGGUUAAGAACUUUGCUUCAGGAUGAGAACAGAAAUCAUGCUCCGGCGGCGCGGCAGCAGCAGAAGGCCCCAUUAGUUAAAGUGGUGCUUCAGGUUAAGAACAGCUUCAGGUUAAGUACGGACCUUCAGAACGAAUUAAGUAUUUAACCCGAGGUACCACUGUACCAUGGAC